rnacentral:rRNA from 1 species
UGGCGGACGGGUGAGUAAUGUCUGGGAAACUGCCUGAUGGAGGGGGAUAACUACUGGAAACGGUAGCUAAUACCGCAUAACGUCGCAAGACCAAAGAGGGGGACCUUAGGGCCUCUUGCCAUCGGAUGUGCCCAGAUGGGAUUAGCUAGUAGGUGGGGUAAAGGCUCACCUAGGCGACGAUCCCUAGCUGGUCUGAGAGGGUGACCAGCCACACUGGAACUGAGACACGGUCCAG